AGAGUUUGAUCCUGGCUCAGGACGAACGCUGGCGGCGUGCUUAACACAUGCAAGUCGAACGAUGAAGCCCUUCGGGGUGGAUUAGUGGCGAACGGGUGAGUAACACGUGGGCAACCUGCCCUCCACUCUGGGAUAACUCCGGGAAACCGGGGCUAAUACUGGAUAUGACCUCCUGCCGCAUGGUGGGUGGUGGAAAGUUUUUCGGUGGAGGAUGGGCCCGCGGCCUAUCAGCUUGUUGGUGGGGUGAUGGCCUACCAAGGCGGUGACGGGUAGCCGGCCUGAGAGGGCGACCGGCCACACUGGGACUGAGACACGGCCCAGACUCCUGCGGGAGGCAGCAGUGGGGAAUAUUGCACAAUGGGCGCAAGCCUGAUGCAGCGACGCCGCGUGAGGGAUGACGGCCUUCGGGUUGUAAACCUCUUUCAGCAGGGACCAAGGGUGACUGAGUGUACCUGCAGAAGAAGCACCGGCUAACUACGUGCCAGCAGCCGCGGUAAUACGUAGGGUGCGAGCGUUGUCCGGAUUUAUUGGGCGUAAAGGGCUCGUAGGCGGCCUGUCGCGUCGGGAGUGAAAGCCCACUGCUUAACGGUGGGUCUGCUUCCGGUACGGGCGGGCUGGAGUAUGGCAGGGGAGACUGGAAUUCCUGGUGUAGCGGUGGAAUGCGCAGAUAUCAGGAGGAACACCGGUGGCGAAGGCGGGUCUCUGGGCCAUUACUGACGCUGAGGAGCGAAAGCGUGGGGAGCGAACAGGAUUAGAUACCCCCGUAGUCC
rnacentral:rRNA from 1 species